CUGGCACUUGCAUAAGCCUAACAUGUGUUUGACAAGCUCUUAAAAUUGAGUCAAGACUAAAGCUGACCAUCAAAGAGUUCUAAUGCACUGCCAGAAGCUUAUCGGAAUCUUAUGACCAGUAAGGAUUCACUAAUCAUUAAGUUCUACCCACAAGAUUUUGUAGUGGACACCAGUGGAAAGAGGUUUUCUUGGCAGGUUUAUAAACAUAAACUUCUAUCAAUUUUUAACCAUUUCGUAGCAAUUGGAGAUUAAGACAUAAGUAUUCUUAUUGGUAAAAUUUAUAUUUGUUCUUUCCCUCUUAUUUAUAUCAAGUAUUUAUGAUCACAAUUUUUUAGCAUCCAAUAUUACAACAAUGUCAUUAACGAGCUUGUGUCCAAAGGUGACAGUCCCUUCUCUGUCAUCAAAUCCCUGAUUAUCCAUCAAUCUGAUGCUAACAAA